rnacentral:lncRNA from 1 species
CAGACUUCGCCGUGCCCUGACUGCUCGCUCAACAUGGAGUUGUCUUCGCUAUUUUUUUUAUAAGCCACAACACCGAGAGAGGAGGAGGAGGAAGGAGAGGAGAGGAAGGGAGAACCGAACCCCGAAGGAUGGCUCUCAAAAACCCCGGCGGCUCCGGGGCAGCCGGGCGGAGAUACUUUCUGGAUUUAUCCUGAACGAGAAGUGGAAUUGUUGAGUUAAUGCCCAGGAAGCAGCCCUUCUCCCCAGUGCUACACCCUGCAGCCCAGGAGGCCUUCACACACACGGUGCUGAUCUGGAGAAUUUGUACCAAAUAUUUCCAGGCUGAGUAGGAAACACCACUCCAUCCCCACUCACUGGUGCUGGAUCUUGGUACAUUAUCUUCACAUUUCCAUACUGAGGUAGGGAGAUCUUCUAUGACCUCAUUUUCUUAAGCCUUGGAGAAGUGAUUUUGGUGUUGGUAACCCUCCUGGGAGGUGUAACAUAAAUAACGUGGAUUAAAAGAGAUGUGAUUACAUGUAAUGCAACCGUGCUGCUGUCUCAAACAGAUUUUAGAGUUCUUUGUGUCUUUUAUCCUCUGCCAUUCCAGUAAGCAGCAAUAUUUGCUUGCUCUUUCUUAAAUGGCUGUAUUUCUCAAAUGGCAGUCAUUUCUUAAAUGACUGUUUUUUGAUAAAUGCCAUCUACAUGAGGUAUUUCCUAGCAUGUGGUUUGCUGGGUGGUACUCUUAGCUCCUCUUGUUUUCUGUCUAGUGAGAUGAAUGAAAAGGUGUUUUUUGAACAAGACCAUCCAUAACGUGCUGGUUUUUUUCUGGGUGUCUUCAAGCCAAUGCCUUGUCAGGUUAUAGCUCUGUGUGGGCUUAGGGACUCCAUUGGUUAAUUAUUUGUCUUGGCCCUAACUCUUAGUUUCUGUCAUUAAAGGACAGGCCAAAUGAUCAGUGUCCUUGGCUUAAUCUUCUUAGCAAGUAAGCUGUCCAUUGAAUUUCUGCUCUAAUCAAACAGGCAUAAGGAAAGAUGAGAAAAUAAGAUUUCUGGCUUGUUUCAUAUUGCGUGUGGAUUGCUGAAAGUAAAUCAUAUUCCAGUGAUCUGUUUCAGAUCUUAAGUAUUCAGUUUCCAACACUUACAGUAAAUGAUGUGCUGGCAGAAGAAACAGAGUUAAAAACCAACCUUCUCUUCUGGCUCGUCUGGAAGUAGUCUCUCUACUUUCCCCAUUAGAUUUGGCACUGAAGAUGUACCCAUUGUCCAAAUGUUGUAAUGUCUUUCAAAAUGAUUUUUUAUGUAAGUAGAAUUCACCGAGUCACUGUGAAGUACCUGAUUUUAAUAUAUCUGUGUGUCUUGAAUAAUUAUAGAGUCAUUCAUAAAAGCUGGGAUACUCUGUAAUACCAAAGCUGUGUUUGUGUAAUAUUGAUAGCAGUAGAAAGAUUAAUGGUAGGAUUCACACAACGCCCAUCAGUAUCUUCUGUCUAGAUUGAGAAAUGAAAGGUGUGAGUUUGGGUUUGGAUUCUUUUCUUGAUUUACUUUUUUAUUCCUUAAGGAAGCUUUCUCUCUUGCUUUCUUCGUAUGUUUUUAUCUGUUGGGAGUAUUUUGUUUACAACAUAAGUGCACGCUUCAAUUUCUUGAGAAUCAUCAGCUUUACAAAUUAAAUUGAAGCCCUGGGAAAUUCUGUGAUGGGCAAAGAUGUGCGUUCUCUUUGUGUCCUUACUGACUCAGAAGAUCCCAAGUACAGCAUCUACUUUUUCCUCUUUAGUCAGGAACCUUUUCAAACGUUUGUAUCUUUUGUGUGUGGUGUGUGAUGGUCUUCAGAUUUUGUAAACUGAAUCCAGAGAUUGGAGUGAGGAAUAUUAACACUGCAAACCCAGCUUUCUUGAGUUUGAACGAAUAUUCUCGACUUUGAUCUGAGAAUGAGAAGGAAAGAUUGAUGAAACAGAGAAAGUACAGACAAGCAGGCAGAAGGUGAGAGAUGGGAGAGAAAGAUAAAAGAGGCUGAAAUGCAGAAUGUUUCAAACAUUUCAGGGAGAUUACGCUGUGUGGUUGUUUGUGCCAUUUAUAUGCUAUCGUGUCAUUACUAAUCUUGCUGUAUUGUAAAUUGUUGUAUUCUUUAAAAACAUCCAACAUCUACAAAUGGAAUAAAUUUUGGGACCCAUCUGUUACAGUUUUCAUUAAUGACUGUGGCAGAGGAGGCGGGGAGGUGUGGAGGGGCCCA